rnacentral:misc_RNA from 1 species
UUCUAGAAAUCUAAAAAAAAAAUAGUCAAAUACCUUAUGGGUAAACAUACAGCCAAGAUGAGGCAUACUGCAAAGUGUUCUCUAUAUGUCAGAUAAAUUAUUUUAUUUUUAUUUUAAAAAUUUAUUAGAAAAAUAAUUCUUUGCAGGUCAAUAGUGAAAUUAAUUCACUGAUAUUUCAUAGGAUUUAUAGAUAUUCAUAUGUGAGUAGGAUUCCAUAUAGAAUUAAGAGUUAAGAGUUAAAGUUGUCUGAAGUUUUCGUACUAUUAGUUAGUACUUUUUUGUAAAUAUAUUUUUAUCUUAUACUUUUUUGUCAAAUCAAAAUUUUGCUUGGCUGUUGGUAUUUUUAU